rnacentral:misc_RNA from 1 species
ACCCAAUACAUUUAUGCCAUUUGGCAGUGGUGUACAUGCUUGUCCAGGGAAUGAACUUGCCAAGCUGGAAAUUCUCAUUAUGACACAUCAUCUAGUCACUAAAUUCAGGUGGGAAGUGGUAGGAUCUGGUAGUGGCAUUCAAUAUGGACCAUUCCCAGUCCCAUUGGGUGGACUAGCUGCAAGAUUUUGGAAAACUACAUCAACCUAAUGGCUCUUUUGAUUUGCAUAUCUCAAUGAUUUCAUCAAUCUUAUCCAGAAUUGUUGCUUAUCAACCCCAAACCCCACCUCCCAAAAAACAUAUAAGGGGAUGAAAGAGAUCUCCAAAUUAGUACUUAUAUAUUUCAAGAAUUUUACUUAAUUUUGAGUACCUUUACAGCUAGCAACAUUUUGUAACAUUUCAAUUUUUUUUCAAGAAUUGGAAUACACAAAGUGUAAAAUUUG